rnacentral:rRNA from 1 species
CCUACGGGGUGCAGCAGUGAGGAAUAUUGGUCAAUGGCCGCAGGGCUGAACCAGCCAAGUCGCGUGAGGGAUGACGGUCCUAUGGAUUGUAAACCUCUUUUGUCAGGGAGCAAAGGGCGCCACGUGUGGCGCUUUGCGAGUACCUGAGGAAAAAGCAUCGGCUAACUCCGUGCCAGCAGCCGCGGUAAUACGGAGGAUGCGAGCGUUAUCCGGAUUUAUUGGGUUUAAAGGGUGCGCAGGCGGAAUGUCAAGUCAGCGGUAAAAUUUCGGGGCUCAACCCCGUCGUGCCGUUGAAACUGGCGUUCUUGAGUGAGCGAGAAGUAUGCGGAAUGCGUGGUGUAGCGGUGAAAUGCAUAGAUAUCACGCAGAACUCCGAUUGCGAAGGCAGCAUACCGGCGCUCAACUGACGCUCAUGCACGAAAGCGUGGGUAUCGAACAGGAUUAGAUACCCUAGUAGUC